CCAUUCGAAUACCUGGACGCGGAUGGAAUAAUAAUCCUCGACUGUCAUCCAUCCGCAAUGAUGAAAUCCGUACGCAAUCAGCUGCGAAUGAGACGCAUUCGCAGAAACAGAUCGUAAUUUUAUUUACACCGCCAACUUGUUAAACAAAUUCUUCAUACUUUAGGUAGGUUUAAGUAGGUAUAUUUUGCUUUAAGGCAGGAUGAAUUGAAAGUUAUUUUUUGAAACCUUAGUAAUAACUUUCAAUGAAGGUUUGGUUACUUCGCACACGGUCGUAAGUCGUCAAACCAUUGAGUGCGUUUAUGACGUACAGUAUAGUAGUAAACGUUGGUCAGAGGCACACUUAAGGGGGGAACCCAGUUUAGACCGAUCGAAAAAUCGUCUUUUUUUUUUAUUGCAUGAAUCGUUAGUAUACCUAUUCAAGAAUAUGUGGUCAAAAUUUCAAAGCAAAAUUCCCAUUAGUUCGAAUGCAAUGAGCACUUAAGUGACCGCCCGUCGGUUCUGUGAAGAAGCGCACGGUAAUUAUAACGGAGCGGUCGCCCAGACCCUUCUUUUCCAGCUACCUGCCUCAAUACCGCUGUACUAUUGAAUAACAGAAUGACGCAUAUGAGCAAGAAGAGGGAUUGCUAUAUGAUGCUGGAAUAGCUGAUUAACCGAUAAAAAUUGCGACGUCAGGGAUGUACGCAAGCCAAAUGCUCGGAUGGCAAUCGCCCAUGGACUGCACGCGGUAACUCCACUAUUUCCGGCGGAAAUCAUUUGAAAAAAUUUCAAAGUGUACUUGAAAACAUAAAUAAAAUAUCCUCCAAGUUUAAA